rnacentral:rRNA from 1 species
GCAUAUCACUAAGCGGAGGAAAAGAAACUAACAAGGAUUCCCUUAGUAACUGCGAGUGAAGAGGGAAAAGCCCAGCACCGAAGGUAGUAUCCAUUUGGGUAUCUACCAAUGUGGUGUUAAGGUCAGCUCGCGUAGGUGCGGCUCCAUCUCAAGUCCAGCAAUGAGUACGGCUAUGGACUGAGCCCAGAGCGGGUGAAAGGCCCGUUGAGGUGGAGUUCAGAAAUGACCGCGCCUAUCGUGUUUGACCAUGGAGUCGGGUUGUUUGUGAAUGCAGCCCUAAGCGGGUGGUAAACUCCAUCCAAGGCUAAAUACUUACACGAGUCCGAUAGCGAACAAGUACCGUGAGGGAAAGUUGAAAAGUACUUUGAAGAGAGAGUAAACAGUGCGUGAAGCCGCAUAGAGGUUAAACGGGUAGAGUUAAACUGCGUGGGUCAUGGAUUCAGCCGAUGAAUGUGACUUGUGCUUGGACAAAUUGAUUCGUCUUCAGAGUCUGCUUAGCUGCAGGUCCCAUCCGGGAUUCACGAAGCACUUACCAAGUGUUGUGUGCUCUGUUGAUGAGAUGUCAGUUCGUCGGUGCACUUCCAUGACUCCUUGACCACGAUCGGUGUCAUUGGACUGUCCUCGUUGUCAAACUGUGGAUGUAGAAUUUUCUAUGUCUUCGGUGUGGUAGCACCCCUGUGUAUGCAGGUCGCAGUUGUCUUCGAGAUACAAGCUGAUGGACCGGGGCGACGGCCUUGGCGUGCUCUUAUACCCUCUGAUAGAUUGUGUUGGGUAUGGUUUUUGUGUGCUUGUGUAAGCAGGCCCAUUGACUACUCAGUGUUUUCUAUUAGUGUGGUGUCGGGGUGGCCAAUUUUGAGGGCCAAAGUCAGUGGUGUGUGUAAACUUUCUACCCGA